GGUUGGAGAGAUGCUGAGAAGUGCUUUGCAGCACUGGAGCUUCGGGAACUACUACCUCUUAAAUUAAAUGGGAUUUGCCUCAUUUAAUAAAAUACCCAUUGACAAAUGGGAUCCCAUCUCAUGUGGAAUGUGUGCAAACCUGCAUACUCACAAACCAUUUGGAUUUAUGUUUCCAAAACAGUGAUAUGCCUACCAAGGGUGAUACAGAAGAUAAUGUUAGUUGGUAUGAAAAAAUAAUAUUCUUUGGAGUUGAUGUACCAUGAUUUAU
rnacentral:lncRNA from 1 species